UAACAAUUAUGAGACUUAAAAUUAGAUUUUAAAUUUAUUUUUUGUCGCGAAAACUUGAGUUUCGAUUUUAAUUGACAAUAUUACUUAAAUAACAAAUAAUAAUUAUAAGCACAAUAAGUAAAUUAACGUUUCAAGUGUCGUGUAUAAAGUAAAUCAGUGUCGAGUGUUUUAAGACAAUAUGCAUUGUGCUACGCGACGAUAUUCAAACAGCUAGUUUAUACUCGACACGGCACUACGGACGUAUAUUACCAGGUAUACAGAGAAAGCUAGAUAAGUAGAUAGAUGGAUUUAUUAUAAUACAUUAAUGCCUGCUCGUGACGAAAAUGUAUUGCCGAAGACUCGGGACAGUCUCGAACCGAUGAUAAUGUUGAUUUUGUUUUCGUAGUCCAAGACAACAGUAAAUCGUAAUACAUAUUUCGGUCUUGUGCGCCGUAUCAAUAAGGUGUGCACGUGUUUUAACGAUUUCUCCCUAUUGCCCAGAAGCCAAAUAAACGUUGUUAAAUACACGGAUUACCAUAAUAACCCAUCCCUAUAAAAAAAAAACUUCUCCGAUUACAAAAAAAAACUAAAACGAUACGCGCAAGUCACAACUACCUAUGCGCCUUUUAUAUGGCUGUUACAAAAACUCGACAAUUUCAAAUUCCUACGGAGAAUUACGAGAUUUUUACAAUGUUUAGAAGGAGAAAAUACAAGUAUUAUGCGAAAUUUUUAAAUCUUUACGAUUUUUUAAACGGAAUUUGAUACGCCUAAAAAUCGGAGCAAGAUUUCUGGUAGAAGAGUCGAACAGAUAAAUACGUUUUCUCGACUUGUUCUUACUAAAAAAUCGUAACAAUGAUAAUAUUAUAAGCAGGGAUACAUAUUAUGAUGCUACUGGUUAUACUGGCCCGAGCUCCUACUGAUCGAAAGCCCAGUGGGUGAUUCCAGUAGACUGGGUAUUGGUUUUUUUUUAGCGCGGAGGAAGAAAUUCACUUUGUAGUUACAAUACUAUUCUCCCUGUGGGAGAUUAAAGUACUCCCACGGUGCCUCUACCUAUUGUAAGAUGAGACGAAUGUGGUUGCGGCAAGUCGACAACCGGUGUAAAAUGCCGUCAAACAGCGUGAGGAGUUCUAAACUAGACUUUGACGUAUUUUAAACGUAUUAUUGUACGGAUUAUACAGGUUUUCUUAUCAAAGGAGGCAACGAUCUUUGAAAUCAAACCUUACACAAAAAUCAAAAGCACAAAUAGUCAAAAUAUAUUUAAAGGGGGGCUCAUAUCCCUAUUAUAUUGAUAAUUACUAUAUAUUAAAAUAAAAAUCAAUAUAUACUUGAUGAGCAUUUUAUUUUAGGGAGCUUGAUUGAGUUUUCGGGAAACGGAGGAAGGUCGAAAUCCUCCACAGGUCCUUCCUCUUUGUUACGACAAUGCAUAAAAAAAGGUUUAAUU